GCUUUCGACAGGGCUGGUGUUCAUCUAUGAAAAGUUAAAGUCACUCCUAAUUGUCACGCUCUCACAGCACUGUGUUUCAUAUUUUAUGCAGAGGGUGUGGAGGUAUUAAACCAACUGGCUGGAUUGGACUGGAGAGCCUGUUGACUGACGGGCCAGAACAGAUGCACAGGGAAAAUGAAGUCUUCGCUUGGUGAAAACCUGAUUUCAAACAGCAAGUCUUUAUUAUCCUCUGCAGCCGGCACAGAGUAAUUUGUGUUUCCUUUCCUCCCGUGGAGGCGCUCAGCAGGUCGCUUCACAUCUCCACCGUUCCGGAUGGAAAAGAGAUAAAACACAGCAGUGAAACUCCUCCCGGCGACCCAAAAUGAGGCACAUCACCCCCUCACCGUCAUCCUCCACGAGGCUGAUUCUGCAGCUCUGGCGGUGCAG